rnacentral:rRNA from 1 species
AAUAGAUACCCGGGUAGUCCACGCCGUAAACGAUGAGUGCUAGGUGUUAGGGGGUUUCCGCCCCUUAGUGCUGCAGCUAACGCAUUAAGCACUCCGCCUGGGGAGUACGGUCGCAAGACUGAAACUCAAAGGAAUUGACGGGGGCCCGCACAAGCGGUGGAGCAUGUGGUUUAAUUCGAAGCAACGCGAAGAACCUUACCAGGUCUUGACAUCCCGCUGACCGCCAUGGAGACAUGGCCUUCCCUUCGGGGACAGCGGUGACAGGUGGUGCAUGGUUGUCGUCAGCUCGUGUCGUGAGAUGUUGGGUUAAGUCCCGCAACGAGCGCAACCCUUGUCCUUAGUUGCCAUCAUUCAGUUGGGCACUCUAAGGAGACUGCCGUACAAAUACGGAGGAAGGUGGGGAUGACGUCAAAUCAUCAUGCCCCUUAUGACCUGGGCUACACACGUGCUACAAUGGGUGGUACAAAGGGUCAGCAAACCCGCGAGGGGAGCGAAUCCCAAAAAGCCACUCUCAGUUCGGAUUGCAGGCUGC